rnacentral:rRNA from 1 species
AUUGAACGCUGGCGGCAGGCCUAACACAUGCAAGUCGAACGAGUGGCGGACGGGUGAGUAAUGUAUGGGAAUCUGCCUGAUGGAGGGGGAUAACUACUGGAAACGGUAGCUAAUACCGCAUACCAUCAGAUGUACCCAUAUGGGAUUAGCUUGUAGGUAAGGUAACGGCUUACCAAGGCGACGAUCCCUAGCUGGUCUGAGAGGAUGAUCAGCCACACUGGGACUGAGACACGGCCCAGACUCCUACGGGAGGCAGCAGUGGGGAAUAUUGCACAAUGGGCGCAAGCCUGAUGCAGCCAUGCCGCGUGUAUGAAGAAGGCCUUCGGGUUGUAAAGUACUUUCAGCGGGGAGGCGUUACCCGCAGAAGAAGCACCGGCUAACUCCGUGCCAGCAGCCGCGGUAAUAC